rnacentral:rRNA from 2 species
GUAACACGUGGGUAACCUGCCUUUAAGUGGGGGAUAACAUUUGGAAACAGAUGCUAAUACCGCAUAAAUCCAAGAACCGCAUGGUUCUUGGCUGAAAGAUGGCGUAAGCUAUCGCUUUUGGAUGGACCCGCGGCGUAUUAGCUAGUUGGUGAGGUAACGGCUCACCAAGGCAAUGAUACGUAGCCGAACUGAGAGGUUGAUCGGCCACAUUGGGACUGAGACACGGCCCAAACUCCUACGGGAGGCAGCAGUAGGGAAUCUUCCACAAUGGACGCAAGUCUGAUGGAGCAACGCCGCGUGAGUGAAGAAGGCUUUCGGGUCGUAAAACUCUGUUGUUGGAGAAGAAUGGUCGGCAGAGUAACUGUUGUCGGCGUGACGGUAUCCAACCAGAAAGCCACGGCUAACUACGUGCCAGCAGCCGCGGUAAUACGUAGGUGGCAAGCGUUAUCCGGAUUUAUUGGGCGUAAAGCGAGCGCAGGCGGUUUUUUAAGUCUGAUGUGAAAGCCCUCGGCUUAACCGAGGAAGUGCAUCGGAAACUGGGAAACUUGAGUGCAGAAGAGGACAGUGGAACUCCAUGUGUAGCGGUGAAAUGCGUAGAUAUAUGGAAGAACACCAGUGGCGAAGGCGGCUGUCUGGUCUGUAACUGACGCUGAGGCUCGAAAGCAUGGGUAGCGAACAGGAUUAGAUACCCUGGUAGUCCAUGCCGUAAACGAUGAAUGCUAGGUGUUGGAGGGUUUCCGCCCUUCAGUGCCGCAGCUAACGCAUUAAGCAUUCCGCCUGGGGAGUACGACCGCAAGGUUGAAACUCAAAGGAAUUGACGGGGGCCCGCACAAGCGGUGGAGCAUGUGGUUUAAUUCGAAGCAACGCGAAGAACCUUACCAGGUCUUGACAUCUUUUGAUCACCUGAGAGAUCAGGUUUCCCCUUCGGGGGCAAAAUGACAGGUGGUGCAUGGUUGUCGUCAGCUCGUGUCGUGAGAUGUUGGGUUAAGUCCCGCAACGAGCGCAACCCUUAUGACUAGUUGCCAGCAUUUAGUUGGGCACUCUAGUAAGACUGCCGGUGACAAACCGGAGGAAGGUGGGGAUGACGUCAAAUCAUCAUGCCCCUUAUGACCUGGGCUACACACGUGCUACAAUGGAUGGUACAACGAGUUGCGAGACCGCGAGGUCAAGCUAAUCUCUUAAAGCCAUUCUCAGUUCGGACUGUAGGCUGCAACUCGCCUACACGAAGUCGGAAUCGCUAGUAAUCGCGGAUCAGCACGCCGCGGUGAAUACGUUCCCGGGCCUUGUACACACCGCCCGUCACACCAUGAGAGUUU